rnacentral:tRNA from 1 species
UGCCGGGUGGUCAAAUUGGUAAAGACGCCGCGCUCUGAACGCGGAAACUCCAGGUUCGAGUCCUGGCCCGGCAG